rnacentral:rRNA from 1 species
CACGUAGGGGGCAAGCGUUGUCCGGAUUUAUUGGGCGUAAAGAGCUCGUAGGCGGUUUCGUAAGUCGGGUGUGAAAACUCUAGGCUCAACCUAGAGACGCCACCCGAUACUGCGAUGACUAGAGUCCGGUAGGGGAGUGUGGAAUUCCUGGUGUAGCGGUGAAAUGCGCAGAUAUCUGAAGGAACAUCAGUGGCGAAAGCGACUGUCUGGACCAAUACUGACGCUCAUGUGCGAAAGCGUGGGGAGCAAACAGG